GGAGGCGUGGCCGAGUGGUCGAAGGCAGCGGUUUUGAAAACCGCCGUAGUGCAAGCUACCGGGGGUUCGAAUCCCUCCGCCUCCG
rnacentral:tRNA from 1 species